rnacentral:lncRNA from 1 species
UCGGUGAUGUUGUAAGCAUCCAAAAAGUGAAUUGCCAUUAAAUAGGACAGCAAACUCGAACAAGUAAAUAAGAUCUUGUAUCAAUAACUGAAUUAGUGUGAACAUCAUUACAAAUAAAGGUACAUAAAACCGAAGCAAAAUACUAAGCCGAAACAAGCACAGUUAGAAAUGAAGCAAAAUACUACGAAUAAAUGUAUUGAAAUCUGAUUUCUGUUGCUUUCAAUUUUCUUGCUAAAAUCUCCAGCAGAGCCCUCAAAUGCCUGAAAAUUGAAAUUGGGAGUUUUCAUCCCAUCCUUUGGUAAAGAAUCUGAAGAAGCUGAUAUUGAGCUCUUAGCAAUAGAACCAUGCCCAACUUCCUAACCAGAACCACCACUAUUCCCACCGUCACCAGACAAAUUGAACGAAAUUUCCCCAUAAUCCAUACUCAUCCACUCUGCUGAUACUACCUUCUUGGAGCUAUCAAUCACUUUGGAGCCGAACAUAACAAAGUUCUACCAAUCCCACCUCGUAUUCCUCUCCAUCUCAGAUAAAUAAUUCAUCAACCAGACUUGCUCAAUUUUCCUUCUACAUGAAAAGCACAAGCAACUGGGCAUCACAUUUGCAAUCACCAAUAUCAUGACCACUUAAAAUAUGCUCAAACAGAUGGAAGCAGUUCUCAGUAACCGUAUCAUGAUCUGCAAUCACCAAUAUCAUGACCACUUAACAUAAUGGAAAUAGUUCUCAGUAACCGCAGGCCAAGCUAAAGACUAUUGCUAGCAAAUCUCAAAGCAGGCAACAAAUUCACAUUCAGGCAAAUCUCAAACCAGGUAACAAAUUCACAUAUGCCCCUGUUACCUCUUUCUAGUUUUGAAAAAUGUCGGCUACCGAACCGUGGGUUUGUGAGCAAAAUCAGUUUCGUGCUGCCAGGAAGACGAAGACGAGGAUGCGUCUCGGUUCCAGUCACUGAAAAUUGGGUUCAAUUGGGACUGGAAAUCGCUGAAAAAUCAAGUUCAAUUCGCUAAAAAUCGUUCUCCUUUGGUCGCAAUUUGGGACUGGAAUUAUGGCUUUUCAAUGAGUAAAAAGCUUCAUUACUAACUGAAAUCGCGAUUUGGGACUGAAAUUCGAGCUUUUCGAAAUCGAAUUUAGGGGAAUCGAAUCCUAGGGUUCUUCGUUGCCGUGUUUGAGCGAGGGAUUUGGGAAUUUCAAUUUCUGAGAUAGGAUUAGGGCUUUUCAUUUGAAGUGGUGGUGUUUUCAUUUUCAUUUGGUGAAAGUCGUGAUUUCUCCUGCCACGGAGUCGUGUUUUCAUUUAGAGGAGAUGUUGCUAACGUGCCACGUAGACUACCGUCAUGCCACGUUAGACACCCUUCCAACG